rnacentral:lncRNA from 1 species
UGCCCUGGACCAUGCUGAUGGCGAGGAAGGUAAGCAUUAGGCGAGGCCUCAUCACAGAGGGCGAGGACUCCUUGAAGACGGACCGCCAGUCAUUGGGCCGCGAGGCCGACACAUGCCUAUGACGAAGGUCCAUACUGGGCGAGGACCCUUACUGGGCGAGGACCCUUCUGCUGACCCGGGUCCAUCUGUUGCUGGUCCUCACUUCCUGGGCCACAUAGAUGGCGAGGUCCACGUAAUGGGCGAGGACGAUCCCGGAGAUCGGUCCUUUCCUUGAAUUAAGGCGAGAUUUAUGCAAUCAUCUUCCGAGUUGAUAUUUGGCCAUAACAACUACCCCCCAAGCCCUUGAAGCAUAAGUGCGAAAGGGUUUAAAGAAGCUUCAGGCGAGGAAGAUGGUUAGUUGGCUGGUUUCCUGUAAUAGUACUCUGGCGAGCUCCAUCCUUGGGCGAGGACUCCAUCAAAGAGCCAAGUCAUUUAGAUAAUCAAGUAUCACAUUCCGGACAUGACUCCAGGAGAGGACUCAUUGAAGGCGAGGAUGGUAUAAGUCUUCCACUCCGGUUAGCUAAUUGCUAGAAUCAGCAACGGGCGAGGACGCCCCUCAAGCGAGGACUCCGUUAAGGGGUCGAGCUGAAGGUGAGGCUUAGCUGAGCGAGACGAUCAGUUGAGUGAAAAGAUGGUCAACAGCUGAGUGAGAGGACGAUCGAUAGCUGAGUGAGAGGACGAUCAUCAGCUGCGGUAGACGAAGCUCAUCAGCUGAGUGAGAGGAUGAUCAUCUGCUGAGGGCGAGGACGAUCAUCAGCUGAGGUAGACGAAGCUCAUCAGCUGAGGGAGAUGACGAUCAUCUGCUGAGGGCGAGGAUGAUCAUCAGCCGAGGUAGACGAAGCUCAUCAGCUGAGUGAGAGGACGAUCAUCUGCUGAGGGCGAGGAUGAUCAUCAGCUGAGGUAGACGAAGCUUAUCAGCUAAGGGAGAGGACGAUCAUCUGCUGAGGGCGAGGACGAUCAUCAGCUCAGGACGAAGCUUAUCAGCUGAGGUAGACGACGAUCAUCAGCUGAGGGAGAGGACGAUCAUCUGCUGAGGGCGAGGACGAUCAUCAGCUCAGGACGAGCUUAUCAGCUGAGGUAGACGACGAUCAUCAGCUGAGCGAGAGGACGAUCAUCUGCUGAGGGCGAGGACGAUCAUCCGCUGAGUGAGAGGAUGAUCAUCUGCUGAGGGCGAGGACGAUCAUCCGCUGAGGUAGACGUUAUCUUCGAAGGAUGACUCAAAAUUUGGCUAUAACGACUACCCCCCAGUUCCUUGUAACAUAAGUGCGAAAGGGU